AACUUGCUGAUCAAUGAAGUGUGAAGACAGAUGAACAGAAACUAAGCUUGGGUUCACGUCUGCAUUUACUGGCCAUCAGAAGUGAGAGCCAUCAAGGACUUGUCCAAAUAAUCUACAGCUAAAGAGACUAUUUGCACCAGAAGGAGCUGCAUUCCUGAUGGAAACCAUUUACAACAUUUAAAAUGAACAAUUUUCAUGGAAACACAACAUGGAUUGAAAUGUAGUGAAUUGGAAAAAUAUAGUUUGUUCACUUUGUCGUCAUUCUGUGAAAGUCUGGAUUUCUUUUCUAUAAAAGUACCUGA